AUCAGCCAAGAAGCCUAGAGGAGGAGAACCACUAACCUCACAGAAGCUUGGGCCUUAACAUUACGCUUUGAAGCCUAGAAUCUUACUGAGAACCUUUUACUUAGCUCUUUCUCUCGGCCUCCUUUCCAUUUCUGCUCAGAGCAAGAGCUGCAAGAAUGAGGACAUAAUAGAAUCAUUCAACUAACCAGAAAAGAGACAAUCUUCCCAGUGGGUUCUGUGAGGAAUCUUUACAUUCCUCUCUGUAUUGCUGGAGAUCCCAGCCCUGGUGGGAGUUUUGCCUAAGGUCACAACUGCAGGUAGUGAAUUUCCUUAUCUGCUGAUACUCAAGCUACGCACAAGCAAGAAAGUCACCCAGUUUCAGGAAGAGAUUCCAUUGGUUGAAAAGAGAGCACCCAGAUGAUUUGAGAUGCUCUGUAUGGUGAUCUGCUCUUCUGGAAAUAGUAACUGAAGUCAAACUGGAAGAAAUCGCAAAUUGUUGAGUAGAUUUUAUGUGGCUGUGCUGAAUCUGUGAUUCCUGAUGGAUCAACAACACAUGACCUGGAGUUGUCCAGCUGCCAGUCCAAACUCCUGCAUAAAUUAGACACACUUCCUGCAUUGACUUUGUAUAGAAUGAAGACAAGAUCCUGCAACCUAACAGGAGCAAAAUCAAGGGAACUAUGUGUGUUUAAGGACUACUCAGCAAGAUUGCUUGAUAGACGAAGGUGCAUCAUUGAACUGUGGGGGAGUGGCCAUGGCCUGGAGGUUUUCCAGCCAGUUACAGACUGCUGAAAGCUUUUGGGAGAUCUUAAUGCAAAAGUAGGAUCAGACUGGAAUUCCUGGGCUGGAGCAGUAGGUAGAUUCAGACUCCAUGAAGAAAACCAAAGAGGACAGAGGCUACUAAAUUUUUGACUAAGCAACAACUUUAUAAUAACAAACACUCUGCAGAAAGCUGCAGAAGUGAAACAUCACCUGAUGGGCAAACAAAGAACACGAUAGACUUUGUACUUGUGAAUUGCAGAUGGAAAUCAAAUGGGUUGUUGUGCAAAUAGUUUGUGGCCAUAUUGGAUCAGAUCAUUAAAAUUAAUGCUAGCAUCAAUGAGGUUGAGGCUGAGAGCAACUGAAAAAAUGCCAGGAAUUAGGAUGUAUGACGUGGACAAAUCAAAAGAGCUACAUAUCAAGAGAGAAUACAAUGAAGCUGUGCAGAAAGAAGAAAUAAAUGUUGAAGAGACAUGGAAUAGCAUAAAAAUGGGAUUAUGAGAACUACUGAAUAAGUAUUGGCCCCAAAUGAAGAAACUAAGGUGGAUAACAGAUGAAACGCUGCAAUUGAGUGACAAGCUUUAGGAAACUGAAGGAAAAUAAAAGGCAAUUGUAAGAGCCACGUACAACAGAUUGACCAGAAAGAUAGAAACAACUGGAAAAAUGACCAAGGUAAAGAAGCAGAAGAAUACACGAAGUGCAAUGCAAGGGUUGUAUUACAUGUCCCACACAGUUCUGUUAUCUUGCAAGUUGAAGAUGUCAGCGCUGAAAGACAAGUGUGAGCAAAUAAUCAAGGAUGAAUUAGCAAAGAAUAAGCAAUGGAAAGAAUAUUUUGAAGACCUGUACAACAUGCAAAACAGAGUAGAUGAAAUGAUUCAGGAGAAGCUUCCUAGUGCAACAGAUGCUAAAAUUCUUAGAAGUAGUAAAGAUCUCAAGAGCCAAUUUGGAAAAGAAAAGGUGCCAGGAAGUGACAACAUAACUGCUGCAAGCAGGUGACAAACACCCAGGAAAGGCGAUGCACAAGCUAUAUAACAAGAUUUACAAACAAGAGCAAGUGCUGAGUGAAUGGGCAAAAGCAAUAACACUACCAAUCUAUACAAAAGUUUAUAAGAGUGAAUGCAAGAACCACAGGGGAAUCAGCUUAUUGGUCAUGCUGGGAAAAGCAUUCAUGAAGAUGUUGCAGAGGAGAGUAAAGCGAGAUGUGGAAGCAGUGCUUGCAGAGGAACAAGCUUGAUUUGAUUUAGACCGGGAUGAAGUAAAAUAGAUCAGUUAUUUUGUUUUAAAACAGCUAUCUGAGAAGUACAUAGAACACAACCGAACCUGUUUUUCAACUACUUUAUAGACUUCAGAUAGGCUUUUGAUAGCAUUUGGCAGAAAGGAUUAUUACAAGUCUUGAGAAUGUACGGCAUCCCCGAGAGAUUGAUCAAACUGAUAGACAACAUCUACAGCAAGUCGAUGAGUGCAGUGAAAGUAGAAAGGAAGCUAAUAGAAUGGUUCUGAAUGAACCUAGGAGAGAGACAAGAAUGCAUGUUAUUUAGAAGCACAGUGAAUAUCCUUAAAUUCACAGAUGAUAUUGAUCUCAUAGUUAUUCUCCUUGGUCAAUACUAUCUGAUAAGGUAGACUGAGAGAGCAGAAAAUUUUGAAUUGAAGAUCAGCAUGGAGAAAGCAAAAAUUAUUACAACUGGAAGAUGAGGACGAUGUAAGGAUAAAACUCAAGGACAAUAAACUAGAACAAGUGGAAGAAUUUGUGUUCCUCAGAGGGCUAGUACUGAAGAAUGGAAAUUGUGAAGGUGACAUAAAAAGAGGACUCCUGGCUAACUGCUAUUGCAUUCAGAAAACUCUAAGAUCUGGAAGGCUAAAGACAUUCUAAUAAAAAUGAAAAUCAGCAUAUGAGAAAAUUGUUAGGCCAAUACUGCUGUACAGGUUGGAAUGUUGGAAUAUGAGGAAAGCUGAUACUGACUCCAGAACUUACUGGCUGAAGGGAAUUCUGAGUUUCAAGACUGGGGAAAAAAAUAACAAACGAAGGGAUAAGAAACUGGCUAGGGCAAGAAAUAAUGCUGUUACAAAAGAUCCAAGAAAUGUGACUGCAGUGAUUUGGACAUAUGUUGAAAAUGGACCCAGAAAGAAUACCAGAGUGCAGGGAACUAGAAAUAGAGGAAGAUCAAAGAUGUGUUGGAUAGACACAAUGAAAAAUGACACAGAUCAAAAAGGUUUAAAGAUGAAUAAAACCAUGAAGUUGGUACAAGACAAAGUGAUGGAAAAACUUCAUCAUUGCUGCUGAGCUAACUAUGGGAAUAGAAGAAGUAGACACUGCUUAUUUUGGCAAAAAAGUGCUUUUGUCAGUAUAGUUUAUGUUGGUUCUGCAAAGCUACACCAGCAAAAUGCCAGUAUAACUGGGUCUAUACUAGGGCUUUUGGUGGUGUAGAAAUGUUGCAAAACAUUUAUUCCCUUAUCAGAAAAUUACUUUAUCAGCAAAGUUUCAAGUGUAGACCUGACCUUUUGUUCUUAGUUCAUGAGCUACGUGAAAAAGGAAUAAUGCAGAGAUCUGUAUGAGCAUUUUAUCACCAGUAUCACAUCUCUGGUUUUGGAUGAUGACUGAACAUCAAACUUGGAGUUUCUGAGAUUUCCCUCAUAUCAGCUCCCAAACUACAGCCGUGUGUGUGUG